rnacentral:rRNA from 1 species
ACUCCUACGGGAGGCAGCAGUGGGGAAUAUUGGACAAUGGGCGCAAGCCUGAUCCAGCCAUGCCGCGUGAGUGAUGAAGGCCCUAGGGUUGUAAAGCUCUUUCACCGGUGAAGAUAAUGACGGUAACCGGAGAAGAAGCCCCGGCUAACUUCGUGCCAGCAGCCGCGGUAAUACGAAGGGGGCUAGCGUUGUUCGGAUUUACUGGGCGUAAAGCGCACGUAGGCGGACUAUUAAGUCAGGGGUGAAAUCCCGGGGCUCAACCCCGGAACUGCCUUUGAUACUGGUAGUCUUGAGUUCGAGAGAGGUGAGUGGAAUUCCGAGUGUAGAGGUGAAAUUCGUAGGUAUUCGGAGGAACACCAGUGGCGAAGGCGGCUCACUGGCUCGAUACUGACGCUGAGGUGCGAAAGCGUGGGGAGCAAACAGGAUUAGAUACCCCAGUAGUCCCA